rnacentral:lncRNA from 1 species
CGCUGGCCCGGGGACCACAGAUUGGAAGCAGGCAGUCACUGGUCGUGGACAGGAAGACUCUCUCCGGCCAUCUCAGCUGUGGUCCUCUAACCUGUGCCUGUGAGCCACCAAGAGUGAACGGAAACUAGAAGCAUUGCCACCAACAACUGGAGCAGUGACCACACUGAAGUUUCUCUGUCGAGGGGGAAGGGGAGUAAGGAGAAAAAAAAAAAAAAAAGGCAAGUAAGCAAGCAAGCCAGCAAGCACAGGAGCACACUCUCGUGGAGGCCCACACCCUCCCUGUGCCUACCCAAGAUGUGUCAGUCAGAGAAGCAUCCAGGACCGGAGCUCCAAGCAGCAGCAAAAUGGUUGUACUUUCCCCAGCUGGCCCUAUGGCGGAGGCUAGGCCAGCUGAGCUGCAUGUCCAGACCUGCUCUGAAUCUGCGCUCCUGGCUGCUGACCAUCCUCCACUACCUCCUGCCCUUCCGUGUGCUCGGGCCCCACAGCCAGGUGGGAUGGAGGCCCCUGAGCAGGGUGUUCCUGUAUAAAACUGUGCCAACGAGUUUGCUGUCAUGUGCCUGUGGUCGCCUCAACAAAGUAGAACUUCCUUACUGGCUCUGGAGGCCAGUCUACAGCCUGUAUAUCUGGACCUUUGGGGUGAACAUGACUGAGGCUGCAGUGGAGGACCUGCACCACUACCGCAACCUCAGCGAGUUUUUCCGGCACCAGCCCAUCAGAUGGCAAGAUCCUCACCUUUGGGCAGGUGAAGAACUCUGAGGUGGAGCAGGUAAAGGGCGAAACCUACUCCUUGGAGUCCUUCCUGGGCCCUCGAACCAGUACAGAAGACCUGCCCUUCCCUCCAGCUUCUUCCAGUGACUCCUUCAGAAACCAGCUGGUCCCCCAAGAAGGGAAUGCGCUCUACCACUGUGUCGUCUACCUGGCCCCAGGAGACUACCACUGCUUCCACUCCCCCACUGACUGGACCGUCUCACAUCGGCGCCACUUCCCAGGUCUGCCCAGGGGUGGGCAUUAGAGGCCCUUGGCCUUUUGACUUGAGAGGACUGGGCUUGAGGCUGGUGUCGUCAAGGCCAGGAGAGGACUUCUUGAGGUGGCUGGCUAUAGGCGAGGGUAUCUGGGGUCCUGCUUAGAAUUUGGACCGCUUGACCUGUGAGUCCCUGUGGCUCUUCGGCCAUUCUGAUGUGAACAUGUCAGGGGCUGAGCAGAAAGUAGCAUAUUCUCUUGUCUCUUCAGGUUCCCUGAUGUCAGUGAACCCUGGCAUGGCCCGAUGGAUCAAAGAGCUCUUUUGUCACAAUGAGCAUGUAGUCCUAACUGGAGACUGGAAAAAUGGGUUCUUCUCGUUGACAGCAGUGGGAGCCACCAAUGUGGGCUCUAUCCAUAUCCACUUUAACUGAGUGAGCAAAGCCCACAGGCUAAACCUCUUGGGUCCAACCACUUCAUUUACUGUACAGCCUUACCUUUGGGCUUAUAAAUUUUGUAGUGCAGGAGGGAUGAUCUAGCUCUGACCAGGCUGGACUCUACAGACAUCCAUACCAGCCCAGCCUCCCUCUCCCUGUUGCCCAAUCUGUGGCCAUUCACCUGCCUGAACCAAUCCCACAUCUUAACACACGGCUUCUGCCAGGAUCCCUGAUCAGAAGCAAGGAUGGAGCCUGCAGGAGGGUAGAGUUGGCUUGGGUGAGAAAAUCUGGUACCCACUCUGCCUUUUUAGGUUUUAAUGGCUGCUGCUGGCACUAGCCUUUCAGCAUUUAUGUCUAACCCCUGCCCCUCCUUGUCAAAGUCACAGCUGAUACUGGGAGUGUUGAUUAGUUAGGCCUUUGUCUCUGCCACCUGGGCUGGGCAGAGUUGAGGACAGGCUCAACCUUCUUGUUCCUAGGACUUGCACACAAACAGCCCCAGGUACAGCAAGGUACUACAAUGACCUGAGCUUUGUAACAAGGAGGGCAUUCCCAUGCACAAGGGUGAGCCCCUGGGCGAGUUCAACCUGAGCUCCACAUCAUGCUCAUCUUCGAGGCACCCAAGGACUUCAACUUGAGGCUGAAGGCAGAACAGAAGAUCUGCUUUGCAGGAGCACUGGGCUCCCUCUAGUCCUCUCGGUUGUGGCUGCCAAAGGAUCUUUCCACACAGGAGCAUGAGGGUCUUUAGCGGAGCCCCAGGAUGUCUAGGUGAGGGGCACUGUGGGGCUGACCUUAUAAGACCUGAAUGAUGUGUUCCUGCCUGUCCAUGGGUGCAGAGGAGAGGUUCUGGGUCUCUCAGGACCUAGGCCCCUUUUCUGAGUAUGGGUGGGUGUGAUUUGACCCCAAAGUCACUUUAAGGGGUGUUUUAAAUUUUUGUACAAGCCAGAGCCUCCCACCCCUAACUCCUGGCUGUGUACUACCACACCCUCUAGCUGCGCCCCGACCCGUCACAGGGCUCUCUCACUGUGCACAGGGUGACGUGCCUGCUGGGCAGAGACUGUGGAUCCACUGUCUUCCUAGAGCAGGCCACAUGGCCUUCAUAACUGCUUUCUGCUCCCAAAUUUCACCUAUCUGCAUGCUGGAAAAGUAAAAUCAUUUAUAUAUUGCU